rnacentral:lncRNA from 1 species
AUGGGUGUAGUCUCACUUGCAUUCUUGGGAAGGAUUCUCAGAAGUAAAUCUUCAAGGAUCCGCUUCCCUGGUUGGUUCUAUUGGGGGCUUUUCAAUAACCCCAUUUCCUCUAUUCCAGCCCUACUCCCCAGCCCCAAGACUCCAAGAUUUCUGCUAAGCAGAUAUGACAUCUCCCAGCUCCCCAAAAUAGGGGGGAUUUGGAAUGUGUACAACUUGGUAGACAUAGACACAAUCAUAUUGAAACGCAUAUGGACAGAUUCUAAGUCAUUAAAUAAUUAUUGUCAUUGGUAUUACAUGGAUUGUUCAGUGCAAGUCAAACAGACUCAACCUGUACUUUCCAGGAGAGGAUGACUCUAUGCACUGAGUUUUAUGGAUAUUCAUCCAGAGAAGAGCAGAAGCCCCCAGAAAAGCCCUAAAAAUGCAGGAGAAGUAAUUUCUGGUCUGCGGAGAGCCCUAAAACUCCAGCUUGGUGAUUGUUGUUUAAAGUAUUCUGGAGAUAAAAAGAAGCAGAUAAACUAUACUACACUGUGUUGGAAAUUUAAUAUUAUCAUUUACUCCAUAUUCCUUAGUGGGCCUUGGGUUGGUAUGGCAUUUUAUUUCACAAACGGGGACCACAUAUACUACCAUGUACUGUAAAUACUCAUUAUAACCUCACAGGAGAAAAAUACUGUACCCACUGAAUACGUAAACAGCUGUACUGAGAAAUAGAAAAUAGUCUUUUAUUUUACCUCAGUGAUAGAAAAAUAGUCUUCAAAAAUACAUUGUUAAACUUACGGGUUUAUAUUAAAGUAGAAUUUGUAUGUACAAUAAGGCAGUACUUUCGUUGGCAUCCUGCUGUGAUUAUCUUUUAAAUUAAAGUUAGUCUCAUGGGAUUUCUUUUCCACUAACAGAAGACUAGGGUAUAUAAUAAAUUAUUUAUCAUGCUGAAAUGAAGCA